CCCUAGUAACGGCGAGUGAAGCGGCAACAGCUCAAAUUUGAAAUCUGGCCCUCGGGUCCGAGUUGUAAUUUGUAGAGGAUGCUUUUGGUGCGGUGCCUUCCGAGUUCCCUGGAACGGGACGCCAUAGAGGGUGAGAGCCCCGUCUGGUUGGAUACCAAUCCUCUGUAAAGCUCCUUCGACGAGUCGAGUAGUUUGGGAAUGCUGCUCUAAAUGGGAGGUAUAUGUCUUCUAAAGCUAAAUACCGGCCAGAGACCGAUAGCGCACAAGUAGAGUGAUCGAAAGAUGAAAAGCACUUUGAAAAGAGAGUUAAAAAGUACGUGAAAUUGUUGAAAGGGAAGCGCUUAUGACCAGACUUGGGCUUGGUAGAUCAACCUGGGUUCUCCCUGGUGCACUCUUCCUCGUCCAGGCCAGCAUCAGUUCGCUGCGGGGGAUAAAGGUUUCGGGAAUGUGGCUCCCUCGGGAGUGUUAUAGCCCGUUGCGUAAUACCCUGUGGUGGACUGAGGUUCGCGUUCUGCAAGGAUGCUGGCGUAAUGGUCAUCAGUGACCCGUCUUGAAACACGGACCAAGGAGUCGUCUUCGUAUGCGAGUGUUCGGGUGUUAAACCCCUACGCGUAAUGAAAGUGAACGCAGGUGAGAGCUUCGGCGCAUCAUCGACCGAUCCUGAUGUUCUCGGAUGGAUUUGAGUAAGAGCAUACGGGGCCG
rnacentral:rRNA from 1 species